rnacentral:rRNA from 1 species
GAUGAACGCUGGCGGCGUGCCUAAUACAUGCAAGUCGAGCGAACAGAUGAGGAGCUUGCUCCUCUGACGUUAGCGGCGGACGGGUGAGUAACACGUGGAUAACCUACCUAUAAGACUGGGAUAACUUCGGGAAACCGGAGCUACUACCGGAUAAUAUAUUGAACCGCAUGGUUCAAUAGUGAAAGACGGUUUUGCUGUCACUUAUAGAUGGAUCCGCGCCGCAUUAGCUAGUUGGUAAGGUAACGGCUUACCAAGGCAACGAUGCGUAGCCGACCUGAGAGGGUGAUCGGCCACACUGGAACUGAGACACGGUCCUGACUCCUACGGGAGGCAGCAGUAGGGAAUCUUCCGCAAUGGGCGAAAGCCUGACGGAGCAACGCCGCGUGAGUGAUGAGGGUCUUCGGAUCGUAAAACUCUGUUAUUAGGGAAGAACAAAUGUGUAAGUAACUAUGCACGUCUUGACGGUACCUAAUCAGAAAGCCACGGCUAGCUACGUG